rnacentral:lncRNA from 1 species
CUUUACUCUUCGCUCUCCUCACCUUAAGCAGAAGGAAGGAGACACAUUUGUUGCUGUGAGCUGUUUUGCCUCAGGUUGAGGGAGGACUGGCGCAAGCAUUCCCUUAGCUACUCCAGCUGGUGUCUCUCUAGGUCACAUGCCACCCCAGUCCUCUGGCUCUAAGCCCAGCCCAGCACUAGGAGUUGCCUAGGAAUUGCAGUCCCUGUGUCCUAGACUGUCUUUCAAGUUUACCUAGAGCCCCAGAACCCUCUGGCCUGCUGUGGUGAGGCUUGCCAAGAAAUUUGAGUUCUGACUUAUGGAAUGUGUGAUUCCCCUCUGACUAGGUCUGCUCCAAAUGCACCUUCCAUGUGCAGUCAGUGGCUGAACCUAGCAUGGCUUUGCUUUCUGCUAUGACAGGUCAGCACUGAGUUCAGGGUAAAGUACGCCAGUCACUGCACUCUCUCUCUCUCCGAAGUGCAUAGACUCUGUGCUACACGGCCACUGCCAGGGCUGGAGGAGGAAUGAUGUCGGCAACUCAAGGCUGUCUCUUCAACCCUUUUCAAUGCCUCUGUCAACAACAUGAAGUUAAAACCAGAUAAACUAGAAGAUUUGGUGCCCAGCAUGAAGAAUAGUUCCUUUCAAGUACCUGUAUGUCCUGAAUGUAUUCCUUCCAGUGGGUUCUUGGUCUCGCUGACUUCAAGAAUGAAGCCUUGGACCCUCGUGAUAUGUGCUCACCCUUCUCUGCUCAGCUCUGUGCCUGGGAGGCUGACCUCUACAAACUGCAUCACCAGGCUUCCGCCCUCUGGCUUCCAGAUGGAUUUGGCCAAUGGGCAGCACCAGUGGGAAAGGAGAGGACAGGAGGAGAGACAGGCUGAGGUCAUGUAUUUAUCCCCCUCUUCCCUACCCCAUGACAGUUCUGACAGGCAGCCCCUCCGUUUCUCCAGCUCUCAGCUGAGCUCCAGUAACAAGCUUCCUUCUCUUUCCCCUUUAGGGUUGGGGUGGCAAGAGCCACCACCUGGGUGUCUCACUAUAUCUUGUUGGCUUCCCUAAUCCUGCCUACAUUAAUCAUUUUUUUUAAAUUUCAAACUCUCUUGAUGCUUCCAUUUGUUUCCCGAGGAAUCCUGGCUAAUGGAGCAAGCUUGGACACAUUCCUUCAUUUCACAGGUCCUCAGUUUAUUUAGCUGUAAAAUGAAGGGCCUGAGCAGCCUUUCCCAAAGUGGAUUCUGCACAUCAGUCUCACCAUAUUCCAUUUUGUAUUCUGUGGUCAAAUAUGUUUGGGGAACACUGAAUAUAAUGUCCCCUUUUGGAGAGCCACAAUUUGUGGCACCGUGUCAACAACUCUGAGAGGUCCUGAAGUAGAUACACCUGUUUUACCCUGUUUAGUUCAGCAUUUCCCAAAUAUAGUUAACAAUGGAACCACUGUUUUUUGCUUGUUUGCUUUUGCAGAAAACCCUAAUAACAUAGAGAAAACACCAGAUCAAGUUGGGCCAUGUAUGGCAUUGUCUUAUUCUGUGGAAAGGUAUUCAUUGCAUAUUUUUGAAUAUUUUCUGUUGGCCCCUCAAUCCUGAAGUCUAAAAUUUCCCACCCAUGUGGCUCAGCUUGCUCUAGGCACAAUAAUGGAAUUCUAUUUCUGUGACCUCAAUACAAUGUUGAGCUUCUCUUCUGACCAUGACUUUGUCGUGGUAAAGAAGUAUCCCUCUAAUUAAGAUCAGGAUUGAAAAUAGAAUUCCAGGAAUAGUUGAAUACACAAUACACAUUUACAUACAGCACAAUUGCAUCCAAGCCCCGUGGAGUGUGGUGGUGCAAAGUAAGGUGUGAAUCCCACUGAAACUUUCUGAAAGUGUGUGGUUGUCAUGAACAACACUGACAAAUCUGAGGCCCUCCUUGCUUCCUGUUACAAUAAGUAACUACCUUUUCUUCUUUUUCUUUUGGAGACAGAUUGGAGUGCAGUGGCAUGAUCUCAGCUCACCGUAGCCUUGACCUCCCAGGCUCAAGAGAUCCUCUCACCUCAGCCUCCUGAGUAGCUGGGACUACAGGCACAUACCAAAUGCCCAGAAAAUUUUUUUCUUGUGAGGGCUGGUGGGUAGAGCCUGGGUCUCUCACUAUAUUGCCUGGGCUGGUCUUGAACUCCUGGGCUCAAAUAAUCCUCCUGCCUUGGCCUUCCAAAAUGCUGAGAUUAUAGACGUGAGCCACUGUGCGCAGCCAGUAACUACCAUUUUGAUCAGAUCAUUUCUAGAGAAAUAUAUAUCCCCUCCUGAUUUUCUAUUGUCAAAGCCCCAGUAUCAGGCACUCAUCUCUUUCCAAUGUGGCACAAAGCAGGGGGCUUACCCCACUUCCAGGGCUGAAUCCUGGCUGAACUAAGCCCAUUUGUAUGACCCCAUUCUCUUUCCAAUAAUAGGUUUAGGAGUGGGCUUGUGACUCAUUUCUAGCCAGUGGGACAUGCAAGAGAGGUGGAAUGCUGGGAGUUUAGAGGGAGAGUUUUCUCUGUUUCUGAAAAUACAAACACCAGAAACCAUGCUCCCUUUUUGGCACCCAAUGGUAUUUUGUUUCUAGAUGUGUUACUUAGGAAUGUGGCAGCUGUCUUGCCUCCACAGGGAGGACAGCAUCAAAAUAGAACUGAUGCUGAGGACAGCAGAGGAGAGGACAAGACAAACCUGGGUGGAUGGCAUCAUGGGGCCUCUGAUUGUUCCUGCAUCCAUUCCAUGUGGUUUAAGCCAGUUGAGUCAGCAUUUUCUGUCUUGAAUCCCAGAUCUUUAUAAAUGAUAGGUGUACCUUUUAAUGGAACUAUUCAUGGCCUCAAAUUCUUCCCAGAUAUACCCUGUGAGUGUUCAGGAAGCAGCAGAAAAUUAAACACUACAUUUCUUCAUUCACAGGCCUCCCUCCUCCUGUGUCCCUGACAUACAGUGACAGUGCUGCCCUGCAGCUCAGGAUGGAUGCAGUCAAGGACGACAGCGCAUGUCCAAAAAAGCUGUCUGCUGAACAUUUGCCCAGCAGAUUUUAGAAAGAAAGGAAACAUCUUAGUGAUUUUCUUGCCUCCAGAAGAUUCCCUGAUCCAAUCUUUCCUUGGCACAAACUUUUAGUUAUUGUGUUUACAUAUACAUUUUAUAUAUGUGUGGUCAUUAUUGUAUCUGUUUUAUUUGGGGACUUUAUCUUGAUGUGUGUUAUACCUAAUACACUGCAAUAUAAAUUAUGUAAUUAUGUGCUUUUUUUUUUUGAGAUGGAGUCUCGUUCUGUCACCCAUGCUGGAGUGCAGUGGUGUGAUCUCGGCUCACUGCAACCUCCACCUUCUGGGUUCAAGUGAUUCUGCUGCUUCUGCGUCUCAAGUAGCUGGGACUACAGGCGCCUGCCACCACACUCAGCUAAUUUUUUUUUUUUUUUUUUAAGUAGAGGUGGGGCUUCACCAUGUUGGCCAGGCUGCUUUCGAACUCCUGACGUCAGGUGAUCCACCCACCUCAGCCUCACAAAGUCCUGGAUUACAGGCAUGAGCCACCACACCCGCCCUGUGCUUUCAAUAAGUACUUUCUCACUGCUUACUGACUGAUACCCCUAGCUUUUGUAUCAUGAGGAAAAAGAGGCAUAAGAGAAUGAAUCCCUGGCCCCAGUAUCAGUCAGGAUUUAAUCAGAAAACAGAAGUCAUGCUAGGUUUUUGAUGAGUUGGAGAGAGUUGAAAGAGGAAUUAAGGCUUGCACAACCAUUAGAAGGGCUGGGUAAGGAAAGGUCAGACGGUUGCUCUUAGGGCAUCUGAAAUGCAGAGAUCUCAAGAGAAAUUGGGGCUUCUGUUGUGAUCAAGUUGCCCAUAGCAGGUGCUUCUCAGCAGGACCCUGAGAAGCUGAGGCUCUGAGUAACCGCCUGUAGCUGGCACUAAAGAAAAAUGGCUUCUCCUUUUCUGCCUCAGAUGUUUCACGGGGGUGCCUCUCACUGGACAAAUGUAACCUCGAGGCACAUAGGAAAAGAACUGGGUAGUGAGGUUUCUGGUUUUCCUCCAAGAUGGAGAAGAGUGGAGGGCUGGGGAGCAUGAGUCACAAUGAAGUUGAACUAUCAACAGACCACCCAGAAACAAAACCUCCCAUAUAUUAAUGAAAAAUAAAAAAAGCAAACAGCAAUUGAUAAACAAAUGUAUUUAAGUUAUACCAAGGGCAAGAUUGCUCUGUCAAAAAGCAUUUGAUAAUCAGUUAAUUGGUGAGUGUCUGCUAUGCAGAAUUAGAGGCAGUUAUUUUUUUGUUUGUUUGUUUUUGUUUUAGAUUAUUUCUUGCUCAAAACUCACUCAGGUUCCUGGGCUAUAAUACUUGAGCCAGACAGAGCAGCUUUGAUCUCACUGGCAGUUUGUUUAGAAGCCUGAGAUCUGGAGUGGCUUUCUAAAAUCUUCAGCUCUAAAAACCAAUACAGUUUAGUAAAAAUCUAUACAUUUGCUUGCAAUAGUCUCAAGUACAUAGUAAAAUGACAGAAAUGAUUUCAACCAAGAAAUUAGCCAUUUUCUUCCUCUUGAUUUAAGAAGGGAGAAAUAGCUUUGGAGGGAAGUGGCAAUAUUUCUAAAUUUACACACAAAUUCACACCGACAGUAUGCUCCUAAUGGUUGCCACAUUUAGAGCUAACCUGGUUUUCUGAGAUUGAUCUGGGAUGGAAGGAGAAAGAACAGCUAACUGACCGGAAGCUAAACGCCACAAGGCAAAGCCUCUUUGUUAGAAGCUGAAGAUUAUCAUAUUUCUAGGGGAGGCUGGAUGCUUUGGUUAAGAGAGACCUAGUUAUGAAUCCAGCCUUCUAAAGACCUCCAGGGAGAACUCUGCAAGUCUCCUCAGGGCAGGGGUUCUGGGAGUUUCUAGGUUCUUGCAAUUCCUGCAAGCAAACACAUCAACACACAAAAAAGCACUGGGAAUUCAGAGUCCCAGAGAAGGACAUUUGGGUACAUCCCUCAAGGUUAAAAUUUGCUGGAAACUUUGAUAAGAUAUUUGGAUGUGGAGAAGACUGGGGAAGUGUUAAGUAAAGGAAUAUGAAGUUGGGAGUCAAUUAUUCAUUAUUUUCCCUAUUCCUCUCACCCAUUAGCAUCAAUAAUUGAAAAAGAACCAUCCAUGUGUGUAUGGGGAAGGCAGUAGGCUUAGAGGCUGCUAAUAACAAUUUAGUAAAUGAGGCCAAAAAUGGGGCUCUGCAGGCAACAAGCUUGACUGGGUAGAGCCAGGCCACCUCAAAGCUGAGGCUUUAACCACCAUGGCCUGCCAUCUGCAGCACAUGACUCACUGCAUCUUUAAGCAAGACUUUGCCCAAAUAAGUACCUUCCACUUUGGUUCUAUAUUGCUGCCACCAGUGUAACUACUCUGCUGCCUUUCCUAGGGGUGGGGACAAGCUACCUCCUUGAGUUUGAGGCUUGAGCCUACCUUUGUACCUGUGGUCCUUAAGAGGUGCUGUCCUUCUCAUUUAGCUCAUACAAAGUGACUCGGGCAUCCUGCAGCAUCCCUGUACAGGUAUCAGCCCAGUCCACACUGCUAAUUGCACCCAUUUUCUUCAAAGUCCAUCUGUUUACUUAAGCAUGUUGGUGCUCAUGCUCAAUGUGCAAGGUAAUAUAGAUUGAUAUGGAUUCUUUGGGAUUUUUAGUUAAGUGGUUUCUGCUUGUGACAUUCUUUCCUUUUUUCUUUCUUUCUUUCUUUUUUUUGAGACGGAGUCUCUGUCGCCAGGCUGGAGUGCAGUGGCAUGAUCUCAGCUAGGCUCACUGCAACCUCCGUCUCCCGGGUUCAAGCAAUUCUCCUGCCUCAGCCUCCCAUGUAGCUGGGAUUACAGGCGCAUGCCACCAUGCCCAGCUAGUUUUUUUGUAUUUUUUUUUUAGUAGAGACGGGGUUUCACCAUAUUGGUCAGGCUGGUCUUGAACUCCUGACCUUGUGAUCUGCCCGCCUCGGCCUCCCAAAGUGCUGGGAUUACAGGCAUGAGCCACCACGCCUGACCUGCUUGUGACAUUAUUUUCUGCCUUUUAAAUACAAAUAGAAGUAUACAAAAGCAUAUACCUCAGUGCUUCAGGGAGAAAAGUGUGUUAGAUAAAUAGACUACCUGUAAGGAAGACUUAGUAUAAUGACAAGCAUGACUGCUUGGUAUAUUCAGAAUUUUGAUGUGUGACAAAUAAUGUGUGUCAUUCUUUGAAAUAUAAAUGUUAGAGCUUCUUAUGUUAAAAGAAGCCAUCCUAACCAAAUAAUACUCUAGGCUUUCAGUGUACCUAUAAACAUGUUCAUCUGGUGGGAAUUAAGAGAUAUGCCAAAAAACAGAUUUGAAUUUGAGCAAAAGAAUAGCAAUACAUUAACUGCUAUAUUAUAGAGUUUGUAAAGAUUGCUAUAGUGAUUAUCAGUGCUUCACGGUGUCAUUAUUGGCUUCACUAUUAAAGAUAUUGCUGUGAAAAUGAAAAUU